rnacentral:rRNA from 1 species
AUACGGAGGGGACUAGCGUUGUUCGGAAUUACUGGGCGUAAAGCGUACGUAGGCGGAUCGGAAAGUAUAGGGCGAAAUCCCAGGGCUUAACCCUGGAACUGCCUUAUAAACUCCCGGUCUUGAGUUCGAGAGAGGUGAGUGGAAUUCCGAGUGUAGAGGUGAAAUUCGUAGAUAUUCGGAGGAACACCAGUGGCGAAGGCGGCUCACUGGCUCGAUACUGACGCUGAGGUACGAAAGUGUGGGGAGCAAACAGGAUUAGAUACCCUAGUAGUCC